rnacentral:miRNA from 1 species
GGUUUCUCUGUGUAGCCUUGGCUGUCCUGGAACUCACUCUGUAGACCAGGCUGGCCUCGAACUCACAGAAAUCCGCCUGCCUCUGUCUCCCAAGUGCUGGGAUUAAAGGCGUGCGCCACCAACGCCCG